rnacentral:hammerhead_ribozyme from 1 species
AUCCAGCUGAUGAGUCUCAAAUAGAACGAAAUGCUAGUCCUAGAU